rnacentral:lncRNA from 1 species
GGCAAAAUAAUUGGAUGCUUUAAUAUCCCGGUUUGAAUUGUGAAAUUGCAGAAAUUUGUUUUUUAAUCAAUUGAUCAAGCAAAAUACAUUAUCGUCCUCGAUGUUCGUAAAAUACUGCCAGAUGGACCAUGGUCAUAAAUUCUAAUAAUCUUGUAUCAACCUUUCUAAACUUAAAAGUAAAAUUCAACCACCCAUAUUGUUCAGAUUGUUUAAGACAUUUGCAUCCGUCGACAUUAUCUUCGAUUACAGAAGUAU